GACGUAGGGUGCGAGCGUUGUCCGGAUUUAUUGGGCGUAAAGAGCUCGUAGGCGGCUUGUUGCGUCGACCGUGAAAACCCGGGGCUCAACUUCGGGCUUGCGGUCGAUACGGGCGGGCUAGAGUUCGGUAGGGGAGACUGGAAUUCCUGGUGUAGCGGUGAAAUGCGCAGAUAUCAGGAAGAACACCCGUGGCGAAGGCGGCUCUCUGGGACGGUACUGACGCUGAGACGCGAAAGCGUGGGGAGCGAACAGG
rnacentral:rRNA from 1 species